rnacentral:rRNA from 1 species
CAGUAGCCGCGGUAACACGAGGGGGGCAAGCGUUGUUCGGAAUUAUUGGGCGUAAAGGGCGCGUAGGCGGUUUGGCAAGUUUGGUGUGAAAUCUUUGGGCUCAACUCGAAGUCUGCAUCGAAAACUGCCGGGCUUGAGUGUGGGAGAGGUGAGUGGAAUUUCCGGUGUAGCGGUGAAAUGCGUAGAUAACGGAAGGAACACCUGUGGCGAAAGCGGCUCACUGGACCACAACUGACGCUGAGGCGCGAAAGCUAGGGGAGCAAACAGGAUUAGAUACCCCUGUAGUCCCUGUCUCUUAUAC